UGAAAUGGGAAUUACAAGCUUUUCAACUAAUGAUGGUUAUAAGUAAGAAGAAUUAACUAAUAAAAGAACUAAUUAUUCGAAAUAGAAUUGCUAUGAGUUGUCUAAUAGAACUAGUUGUUCUAUUACUUCCAUUCUUGGUGACUUAUUUUCUCUACAUUCAUGGAUUAAUUCAUCCCUUGUCUACUCCUACGGAAAAGAAAAAAAAAAAGCAACUAAAGAUGAAAGGAAAAAUCAAAGGCUCUACCCUUUGCUCCUGCCAUGCGUAAGAAUCAAAAAAAGCAAAAAGAGAUCCCAUGGAAAAGUCAACAAAAGCUAAGCUAAAGAAGAAAAAGAAGUCCCCUGCUCCUAAUUCUAAUUCCUAUCUAAUUGCUAACUCUACUGUGCGGCGCCCCUUUUAUUGCUAUCCUUUGCGGCGGCUCUCCCCUUCCAGGAAGACUUCGGCCAAAAUGACUAAAAAGGCCUCGCGUCUCUUUUGUUCCAAAAUUGUCCCUGAGUGCCUUCUUUUUUAAUUCUUUCCCGAUGACUGUCAAAUUGGCAUUAGUUGUGGCAUUUUCAUUCUACUCCAUGAAAUAAAUGUAAAUUACGAAAAGUGAGUAGAAUCUAAUAAUUAAUUCACAUCAGGUCAGGUAAUAUGGGGAAUUAAUAAUAAAAUAAAUGAUGAAAUCGCAACCUAUCAAUUCCCCCCACACCUAAACUAUGCUUGUCCUCAAGCAUAAUAACAGCAACCAAUAUUUGAUAAUGGUCAUCGCUCCAUCUACCAAAUUGCCAAGAGAUCAAGAAAAAUAUAUCACGCAUCAGUGAUCAAAAUCCAAGAAAAAGACAUCGCUCCGGUUAGCUUCCAAACCACACAACUCCCCUAAUUGCAGGUUAAUUAAUCCUAGAAAAAAGGAAUGGCGCACAACAUUUAUCAGCAAAUGGUCCAACUAUUAACCAAAAUCUCAACAUUAAAUCCAUAAUUCGGUAAGCUGACUUAUAUCACACACUAACACAACUUCACACUCAUAUUUUUUCUUUUUCUUCACACUUUUCUCUUUUUUUUUUAACUUUUUUUUUAAAAUAGGAAUAAAAGACUUAGUCUCAAGCCAUCGGAGCCUUUUGAUGCGAGUUCUAACAUUUUUCAGAUGAAAGAGCCCGAUUACUCAGCUCCAAUCGCCACGUGACCACGUCCUCAUAGCAAUUACUACUUUUUGACGCGAGACUCGACACUUUUAGAAAAUAUCCCCGGUUACUCGAUAGUAAAUACUAGCGGAGUACAGUCAACUCUUAUUUACACUUAAAUAACACAAAAAAAAUCAAUAUAACACAAAAAUCAAAAGAAAAUUUGCAUCAGCUAGCCUUAUUUUCAAACAUGGAGAACUAAGGUUAAUAACCGGACCAAUUCACAUGAAAAUGCCAACAAUCAUUCCCAAUGCCUAGAAGAGUUAACCAAAAAUUAGAAGAGCUACAUAAUCAUCGAUAUUCACCAAAAAGAUAUUUUUGGACUCAACCACAUUAACUUGAUACACUUUUACUACUCAAACUUGGCAAUAGUAGCAUUGGAGUCAACAAUCCACCAUCAAAUGACACCAAGUAGCAAAAGCUAGACAAAAACUAAAAAUAGAAGAGGUAACUACAAGCUAAAAAGUAAAAAGUAAAAACAAAAGGAAAAGGAAGACAUCUGAAAAAUAAAACUAAGAACACUAGCACCCCAUCUGAUACCUCCCACACCUAAAUGACACAUUGCCCUCAAUGUGGCAAAGAAACAGCAAAAUUAGGGAAAAAGGGCAAUAGAACUCCCCUGGAAUCGGAUCAAAGUGGUGGGCGAGGUAGAAAUUGGGGCGAAAAACCCACUUGCUGCAGAAACAUCGCCAAAUGCUGUGCCAUGGCAGCUACGUCGGGUCAAAGUGAGAUUGAGCGGCUCUAGACCUAGAAGCUGAUUUCGGUCCCACCAUGUCCGCUAACAGUCAACUCAAUUAACCAAAGAUAGAGGCUCCAACAAUUAUAGAAACUAGCAGAUGCUAUUAGCAAAAGAAACCCAGCAAAAACCAAAUCACAGGCAAAAUCGCAAUUGAGUUGACCAAAAUCACAGACAAGGCCCCUCCAAAUCAGCAAUUUAAAUCAGUAACCAGAGUGUUCUCAAAAAUCGAUUAAAAUCCACUAAUGCCAACAAGUAAAUCACGUGGUCCAAGUCUUCCAAUUCAACAGACAGUGUCAAAAUGGGGUCAAUCAAAAUCACCACAAUCAAAACACUGGCAAAGAUGCCUCCCAAUUAUCAAUAGACAAUUGUAAAAUUCCAGCUCACUCAAGAACUCAACAAGAGCAACCAAAAGUUCAACAAAUGUCCUCAGCAGUGGGCCCAUAGCAAGAGCCCCAAGAAGUCAACAAUUCAAGCAAUAAUAGUGCAGAAAUCUGACAGUAACAACUUAAUCUCAAACCUCCAGCUUCCAAUCAGUCAGUCAAUAGAGGAGAAGUAACCUAGUGUAGUCAAAAUACUCACACAGUUGAUGAAACAAUUUCAAUGGCAGACCCACACUAAUGAAAACUCCAAACAACACCAAAUACUAUCGAGGAGUUGGGAAACGAGGCUCAAAUACCUCCAUUGUUGUACAGUUGAAAGAGAUGGGACCGGUGGUGGUUGACGUUGACGGUUGCGGGCAGGUAGCAGGGGGGCGAGAGAGAAAAUGGGAAAAGAGGCACGGCGCUGCGGUGAUGCGCAUGCUAAGUGGCCGCGAUUGGUGGAGUGAGCAGAGGUGGGUAGUUCGUGCGGCAAGGGACAGAGGGCGUGGGCGGCUCGCCUAGGUGCUCUGGUGGACAGCGAGAUGCGAGAUGCGAGUAGCGACGACGGUCAGUGGAGCGGCGUGCGAAGAGGGAGGAAGAAGAAGGCGGCGUCGGCUUGGGCUCGCUGCAGUGGCUGCUUCAGUCGCGCGGCGGGGGAGCGGCGCGAGCAGCGGGUAGCCGUGACCUGCUUGCGGAGGGUGGCGCACGGGACAGUACGUUUGGGGAUGCGUGGCGGCGAGCUCAGAGCGAGAGAGAGACAGAGAGCGGCGGCCGUUUGUGCAGUACGAAUAGUGACGGCGAGGCUGCUGGCGGUUGACGCCGCGGCUGAGUGAGGUGGGCACUGAUGGAGAGUUGCGGCGCGCGGUGGAGAUGGGCAGAUCGAUAGAGAAGAAGAAACAAGAGAGAAGAAAAAAAGAAAAGAGAAGGAAAGAAGAAGAAAGAAAGAAAAG
rnacentral:lncRNA from 1 species